AAAUUGAAGAGUUUGAUCAUGGCUCAGAUUGAACGCUGGCGGCAGGCCUAACACAUGCAAGUCGAACGGUAACAGGAAGCAGCUUGCUGCUUUGCUGACGAGUGGCGGACGGGUGAGUAAUGUCUGGGAAACUGCCUGAUGGAGGGGGAUAACUACUGGAAACGGUGGCUAAUACCGCAUAACGUCGCAAGACCAAAGAGGGGGACCUUCGGGCCUCUUGCCAUCAGAUGUGCCCAGAUGGGAUUAGCUUGUUGGUGAGGUAACGGCUCACCAAGGCGACGAUCCCUAGCUGGUCUGAGAGGAUGACCAGCCACACUGGAACUGAGACACGGUCCAGACUCCUACGGGAGGCAGCAGUGGGGAAUAUUGCACAAUGGGCGCAAGCCUGAUGCAGCCAUGCCGCGUGUAUGAAGAAGGCCUUCGGGUUGUAAAGUACUUUCAGCGGGGAGGAAGGUGUUGUGGUUAAUAACCGCAGCAAUUGACGUUACCCGCAGAAGAAGCACCGGCUAACUCCGUGCCAGCAGCCGCGGUAAUACGGAGGGUGCAAGCGUUAAUCGGAAUUACUGGGCGUAAAGCGCACGCAGGCGGUCUGUCAAGUCGGAUGUGAAAUCCCCGGGCUCAACCUGGGAACUGCAUUCGAAACUGGCAGGCUUGAGUCUUGUAGAGGGGGGUAGAAUUCCAGGUGUAGCGGUGAAAUGCGUAGAGAUCUGGAGGAAUACCGGUGGCGAAGGCGGCCCCCUGGACAAAGACUGACGCUCAGGUGCGAAAGCGUGGGGAGCAAACAGGAUUAGAUACCCUGGUAGUCCACGCCGUAAACGAUGUCUACUUGGAGGUUGUGCCCUUGAGGCGUGGCUUCCGGAGCUAACGCGUUAAGUAGACCGCCUGGGGAGUACGGCCGCAAGGUUAAAACUCAAAUGAAUUGACGGGGGCCCGCACAAGCGGUGGAGCAUGUGGUUUAAUUCGAUGCAACGCGAAGAACCUUACCUGGUCUUGACAUCCACAGAACUUUCCAGAGAUGGACUGGUGCCUUCGGGAACUGUGAGACAGGUGCUGCAUGGCUGUCGUCAGCUCGUGUUGUGAAAUGUUGGGUUAAGUCCCGCAACGAGCGCAACCCUUAUCCUUUGUUGCCAGCGAUUAGGUCGGGAACUCAAAGGAGACUGCCAGUGAUAAACUGGAGGAAGGUGGGGAUGACGUCAAGUCAUCAUGGCCCUUACGACCAGGGCUACACACGUGCUACAAUGGCGCAUACAAAGAGAAGCGACCUCGCGAGAGCAAGCGGACCUCAUAAAGUGCGUCGUAGUCCGGAUUGGAGUCUGCAACUCGACUCCAUGAAGUCGGAAUCGCUAGUAAUCGUGGAUCAGAAUGCCACGGUGAAUACGUUCCCGGGCCUUGUACACACCGCCCGUCACACCAUGGGAGUGGGUUGCAAAAGAAGUAGGUAGCUUAACCUUCGGGAGGGCGCUUACCACUUUGUGAUUCAUGACUGGGGUGAAGUCGUAACAAGGUAACCGUAGGGGAACCUGCGGUUGGAUCACCUCCUUACCUUAAAGAAGC
rnacentral:rRNA from 8 species